rnacentral:rRNA from 1 species
GAUGAACGCUGGCGGCGUGCCUAAUACAUGCAAGUCGAGCGAAUGGAUUAAGAGCUUGCUCUUAUGAAGUUAGCGGCGGACGGGUGAGUAACACGUGGGUAACCUGCCCAUAAGACUGGGAUAACUCCGGGAAACCGGGGCUAAUACCGGAUAACAUUUUGAACCGCAUGGUUCGAAAUUGAAAGGCGGCUUCGGCUGUCACUUAUGGAUGGACCCGCGUCGCAUUAGCUAGUUGGUGAGGUAACGGCUCACCAAGGCAACGAUGCGUAGCCGGCCUGAGAGGGGGAUCGGCCACACUGGGACUGAGACACGGCCCAGACUCCUACGGGAGGCAGCAGUAGGGAAUCUUCCGCAAUGGACGAAAGCCUGACGGAGUAACGCCGCGUGAGUGAUGAAGGCUUUCGGGUCGUAAAACUCUGUUGUUAGGGAAGAACAAGUGCUAGUUGAAUAAGCUGGCACCUUGACGGUACCUAACCAGAAAGCCACGGCUAACUACGUGCCAGCCGCCGCGGUAA